AGGAGUUUUAUUCAUGUUGGGCCUAAUGUAAACACGAUUCAAAAUAUAACAAGAAGUAAUGAUGGUCUCGGCCCAAAAAUAUUUUGGUAAUGAGAUUAAUAAAAUAGUUCAGUCUACUUUUAAACCAAGCACAGGAUUACUUUCAGCAUAAUUCAAUCUUAUCCAGUCCAGUCCAAUCUAUUUCAGUCCAAUUCAGUGCAAUCCUGCCUACCAUACGGGUGCUAAAUACUUAACAGCCGUAUAAAUGUAAAAAAGAGAAAGUAUUAUGUUAAAAAAGAAAAACUUGUCAUCAUAAGAAAAAAAAAAGAAAAAAAAAAUUGAUUUUUAGUCAUCUUUUGUAAAAAUCCAGAAACAAAAGCCUAAAUUUUAAAUUAUGGGCUUCAAUGGUAGUGCAUAGGUAUGUUGUGACGUGACCUAGGCCCAGUCCAUUGGGUGACAUUUUAGCCCAAUACAAAGUUUGGACUUUCAACUCACGGACAUUUCUUCUAGUCCAAUGGAACUCCAGAACAGAAAUCUAUAGGCAAAAGUGUUUGUGGAAAUUGCCGUACGCCUCACUUUGGUGCCCUAGUCCUUCAGUUCUUCACUACUAUAUAUAUUCAGUCUAAGCAAAAACCCUAAUAUCAAAACACAUCUUAAACCUCUAUACAUCUUCAACCUACUAUCGACCUUUUUUGAUUUUCUUAUUGUUUGAUCAGCUUUGUAGAUCGUUUGGUUGAUAAUUCCUACCGAGGUACCAAUUUUUAAUUCAUUAUAGUUGUAUUUGUUUGUUAAUUUGAUGAUUCCUUUUCUGGGUUUAAAUUUCUUUCGUUUUGUGGGUUGUUUCAAGUGAUGAUAAAAUAGACAGGGACAUCAGUACUCAUUUCGAGGAUGUUGACACGUCUUUGGGAAUCUCUCUGAUGAUUUUUUCUUCCCACAAAGUUCAAAAGUUUUAUGAGAUUUUGUUUAUUUGCAAUUCAAUUUCAACUAACAUUUAUGUUUUAUGCAAGUGACGAUAAAAUAGACAGGGACAUCAGAACUCCAUGGAGUGUUGAUGAUUUGUCGCUGGGAAUCUCUCUGAUGCAUACUAUCAUGUUUAAUACUAUGAAAACUUUUUCAUUUUAAUUGAAUUUGUUAGCUUUUUAGUUAAUGGUUUUGCUUUGCCAAUGAUGCAUUUUAAUGCACGUAUUAUCAGAAAUAAUUAUGAUGAUUUGUAAUUGUCACUACCGCUGAGGCUUGAAGCUAUAUUUACUUAAGAAUAUUUUUUUUUAAUUAUUUUUGUAAUGCUGUAAGUGUAAAUUGGCCUUGUGAUUGUUUUAAGAACGGAGAUUUGAAUGGUGAUUUUGUGGAAGCUUUAUACAUAGUAUAGGCUCCAAAGUCACCUCAUGUGAUUAAAUUCCGCUGGAUAGUAUAUGAAGGCCUUCAUUUUAAAUGCAAAUGUUUUUCAGUAUUGUUCUUUU